GAGGCUCUGGGGCUUUAGAAGCCAGCGCAUCUCUCUACUUGUAAAUGUCCACCAUGUGCUCAGUUUCUGAGCCCUCCUGUGUAAUCUCAUCUUCAGCCCCCGCACGAUGCUUUCUUUUCCCCAUCCUAACGCCCCCACGAGAUGGCUCCUUGAGCAUGUAGCUCACUCAUGUUGGUAUUCUCAGCGCCUCCGCAGGCUUUGUACCUACUAGGUAUUGUAAGUCUGUUAUUGAAAAUGAAGGUAAUAGUCGUCUUUG
rnacentral:lncRNA from 1 species